UACGUAGGGACCAAGCGUUGUUCGGAUUUACUGGGCGUAAAGGGCGCGUAGGCGGCAAUUCAAGUCAUCUGUGAAAUCUCCGGGCUUAACCCGGAACGGUCAGGUGAUACUGUUUUGCUAGAGUGCGGAAGGGGCAAGCGGAAUUCUCGGUGUAGCGGUGAAAUGCGUAGAUAUCGAGAGGAACACCAGAGGUGAAGACGGGUUGCUGGGCCGACACUGACGCUGACAGCGCGAAAGCCAGGGGAGCAAACGGG
rnacentral:rRNA from 1 species